GACCUACUCCCUCCGUUCCAAAAUAGAUGACCCAACUUUGUACUAACUUGAUAGUAGACAAAGUUGGGUCAUCUAUUUUGGAACGGAGGGAGUAUCUG
rnacentral:pre_miRNA from 1 species